AGAGUUUGAUCCUGGCUCAGGACGAACGCUGGCGACGUGCCUAAAACAUGCAAGUCGAACGAGGUAGCAAUACCUAGUGGCGAACGGCGAAGUAAUACAUGAACAACCUGCCUUGAAGUUUGGGAUAUACAGAGGAAACUCUGGGUAAUACCAAAUGUGACCAUUACCGCGGCAUCGUGGAGUGAUUAAAGGUUUUACGCUUCAAGAGGGAUUCAUGGCCUAUCAGGUAGUUGGGAGGGUAAUGGCCUACCAAGCCGACGACGGGUAGCGGGUCUGAGAGGAUGAUCCGCUCGAGUGGGACUGAGACACGGCCCACACACCUACGGGUGGCAGCAGUUGGGAAUCUUGCGCAAUGGGGGAAACCCUGACGCAGCGACGUCGCGUGGAGGAUGAAGGAUCUAGGUCUGUAAACUCCUUUUUCAUGGGAAAGACUUAUGACGGUACCCUGAGAAUAAGCACCGGCUAACUACGUGCCAGCAGCCGCGGUAAGACGUAGGGUGCAAGCGUCGUCCGGAUUUACUGGGCGUAAAUGGCGCGUAAGCGGUCUGUCAAGUGUAGAGUGAAAUCUCCACGGCUCAACCCGGAUACUGCUCUGCAUACUGGCAGACUUGAGGGACGAAGAGGUAUGUGCAGUUCCUGGUGUACCGGUGAAAUGCGUUGAUAUCAGGAUGGAGCAACCAUGGUCGCAAGGCAGCAUUACUGGAUCCUCUCUUGNCCGCUGUAGGCUCCAAAAGCGUGGGUUAGCAACCUGGAGUACGAUACCCUGGGUAGUCCAGUGCGAAUGCCGCCCCCUGACGCUGCUA
rnacentral:rRNA from 1 species